AGUGAACGCUGGCGGUAGGCCUAACACAUGCCAGUCGAACGGCAGCACAGUAAGAGCUUGCUCUUACGGGUGGCGAGUGGCGGACGGGUGAGGAAUACAUCGGAAUCUACUUUUUCGUGGGGGUUAACGUAGGGAAACUUACGCUAAUACCGCAUACGACCUACGGGUGAAAGCAGGGGAUCUUCGGACCUUGCGCGAUUGAAUGAGCCGAUGUCGGAUUAGCUAGUUGGCGGGGUAAAGGCCCGCCAAGGCGCCGAUCCGUAGCUGGUCUGAGAGGAGGAUCAGCCACACUGGAACUGAGACACGGUCCAGACUCCUACGGGAGGCAGCAGUGGGGAAUAUGGGACAAUGGGCGCAAGCCUGAUCCAGCCAUACCGCGUGGGUGAAGAAGGCCUUCGGGUUGUAAAGCCCUUUUGUUGGGAAAGAAAAGCAGCAGGUUAAUACCCCGCUGUUCUGACGGUACCCAAAGAAUAAGCACCGGCUAACUUCGUG
rnacentral:rRNA from 1 species